GGCAUCCACUAACCAUCUGACGUUCCAAGUUCCCAUGCCAUCCGUUCAAAACAAUAGCAGUUUCCCAAGGAGAUUUCAUUUUUGCUAUCCCUUCCUCUUUAGAUUUCUCUAGAUUUCCUUCAACUCGGGUUUCUCAACCAUCUUUCCUCUCUUCCUCGCUGAAGGCAAGUGAAGGCUACAUCCUCCAGGUAUAUUUCUUCUCCCGUUCUUAAGGCAUCUUUUGCAAGUUCAUGAGCUUGACGAUUCUCUGAUCUGUGAAUAAACUGGAAAUGGCUUUCUUGAAAAAAUUGUUUCUUUCUUUGGAUAUCUCGGAUGACCGCCCCUAUCGCUGACUUGUCUGUUGUUGUUGAGUUGCAUUUUUUUAUAACUGUUUUUGAAUCUCCUAUUAUGGUAAUUGAUUGAAAACCCAGUGAGAUCCCUAACUUUACUGCUUGUAAUCCUGCAUAUGCCUCCGCCAUGAACGGGGACGAUAUUGCGGAGUGGAGUACUGAUUUUAAGGCAAGAAACUCAUCCAUCUCCCCCCUCACCACUAUACCCGAAGCCGAUCUUGAAUAUUUGUUGUCAAAGGCUGCGUCAACAUAGAUAGUUGCUGUCGUACUUCUUGUGUUCUGUCUCUGACGUAUGCUUUCACCUAAGUUGGUUCCUAGAGCUCCAUAUCAUCCAUGCAACACAACAAAAAAGCCGACACUGUUGACUGUUGCCUAUGGUAAAAACCCAGGGCACUGUCUAAACACAUGGUUGCUAUCUUCUUCUACACUUCGACACCGGGGACAUGAGCUAUCUGAAGCCACUCUUCUUAGUCUUAAAUUCUUUAGGGUAGGGAUAAAGUUGAAUGAAAGACUCCAAAUAGUGAUGGCAAUUUUUGAAGGAAGGCGUAGACUCCAUAAUUUCCUAUAGAAAUUUUUUGUUUUGAUCUGUAUUAAAUAAGCAUUAGGAUCUGUAGUUGCCUAUUGUAAUAGUUUAUAGGCACUUCUGACUGUAAAUUGGCCAGAAUGUUCUCCUCGCCAAACUUGAAAGUCGCCAUGUUCUUCUUCCGCCAAAGGAAUUUGUAGAAUCUUUUGUGCAAUAUUUUCUGAAAAGGUAUUUUCAAUUAAA